UACGGAGGGUGCAAGCGUUAUCCGGAUUCACUGGGCUUAAAGGGUGCGUAGGCGGGCAGGUAAGUCAGUGGUGAAAUCUCCGGGCUUAACUCGGAAACUGCCAUUGAUACUAUCUGUCUUGAAUACCGUGGAGGUUAGCGGAAUAUGUCAUGUAGCGGUGAAAUGCUUAGAUAUUCGGAAGAACACCAGUGGCGAAGGCGACUCACUGGCCCGAUACUGACGCUGAGGCGCGAAAGCGUGGGGAGCGAUCCGG
rnacentral:rRNA from 1 species